GUCGCCUUGCUUCGGCUUGCCGCGGCUGCCAGGGUUGGAGGCAAAGCUGCCGUCGAGGAUUCAUUGAACGUAAUGGAGGAGGCAGCGGUUGCCGGUUCCGGUGUUCAAAGCCCCUUUUACGGGCACGGCGCUACAAGCAGACUGAACUCAAGGCAACACACCACUUACAGCUGAAGAAAGAGGAGAAGAAAAUCUGGUCCAGGGCAGAGGAGGCUUAUACAACUACCCUCACCCAGAGAGAUUGCAGUAUAAAAACAAUGCAGAAGGAGAUCAGCAAGCUGAUGAUGGAAAAACAGCUUGCACAGGUAAGACAUUGUCAUUAUUUUGGGAGUGUUUUCAAUGGUUGACAUCUACAUUUGAAAUUGGGGGGAAAAAGCUUUACAUUUGAAGUAUUAAAAUACAAGUUGACUCUAGCCUGCUGUACUAAUCCAAUAUGACACUGUAUUUUAAAAGAUUACAGAUGUCAUUUAUUUGUCAUUGACUUGAACAGAAGGUCCAACCUUUGUUUGAACUACUUACUGAAAGUCAGCUACUGUACCAACGACUGUCAGAUUCCCACACAUGCCCUACAAAUUCACAACAGUGCCAGUUUUACACAUAGUGGUCAAAAACCAUGGACUGUGUCUUCAGGGUAUCUAGCAUUAGUGUACUACAUUAGAUAAUGCUAUUAAAAUGUGGUUAAACUUGGGUCUCAUCAGCUUUACAAUAUAGUCUUUAAUAAUAUCUAUAUUUAAUAUUAGUCUAGUUAUAGCUAUUAAAAUGAUGUAUUGGUCAUAUUAUAACAAAUGUAACAUUUUAUUUCAGCAAGAAAUUGAUAGAUUAAAGCUGAGGCAGAAAGUCAUUAAGAAUCAGAGACCACGUCUAGCUUGGAACGACAAACCGAUUGAGACAAAGCGAGAGGAGACAGAGAUAAAAGCAGGAUUAGAGAGACAAGGAAUAAAUGAGAAAGCAAAACAGGAUGAGGAAACGAUAAAAGCACUGACACAAGAGAUUGAGAGAUUGAGAAAGAUUAAGCCAGAAAUGUCUUAUAAAAAAGAUGAAGACAUUUGUAAUCUAGAAAGCGAGAGAGUUAAACUGGUCAACAAAAAGGUACAAGAUUUGGAGAGAGAUGUUGAGAGACUGAAAGAAAUUGAACAGGAUAGGUCAUUUAAAGGAGAAAGAACAAUGCAUAUUGCAAAAAUCGAAGACGUUCAACUAGUCAACAAACAGCUAAAUGACUUGAAGAGUGAGGUUGAAAUAUUGAAACAGAAGCAGUUAUUUCAAAAGCAAAGAUCCAUGCAUAUUGCAGAGAGUGAGGGAGUUAAACUGUUCACCAAACAGCUAAACGACUUGAAGAGAGAGGUUAACAAUUUGAAAGAAGACAUGACAAGUAAAGAAAUUCUAUAUGAAAGAAGAUUUGAAGUUGCAAAAAAAGCGCAUAAAAGACAGAAUGAAAGAAUUAAACAAGUUAACCAACAUUUAUUACAACUAGAGAAAGAAAUAGUGAUAAUUAAAGAAGCGAUUGGAUUGAAUAACUGCCCUAAAGCAACCAUGCGGUUCAAAGGCGAAAUGAUACAGGUAAGUGGGGAAGGGGGUGGACAGAACCAACUGGACAUGAAGGAGGAGGAAACAGAGAGUGAGAAUGACGUACAAAAAGAGAAAAAACGAAUGAGACUUGAGAUGGGACCAAAAGAGACUGAAAUAAUAAAUGCAAGACGGAGAGAGUAUUACAUGUCAAUCUACAGGGAAAGACUGAAACAGAGUAAGAAUAGAGAGAUGCUAAAGAUUGCAAGAGAGAAGAGAGAGCGAGAGAAAGAGAUGGAGGAGGAAAGAGAGAGACAGAAAAUGAAGACAGAGGAGAGACAAAAAGAGAGGGCAAGAGAGGAAAGAGAGCAGGAGAAAGAGAUACAGAGAGAGAAGGAAAGAGCCAGACAGAAGGAGAUGGAGACAGGAAGAGAGAGACAAAAGGAAAUCAGGGAGAUGGAAAGAGAGAGACAGAGAGAGAAAGAGAAUGAGUGUGAAAAGAUUGGGAAAGAGAUUGAGGAAGCGGAGGACAGAAGGUCCAAAGUAAAUAUGAAUGAUAUAUUAACUAUAAUCAAAUCAAAAGGACUGCAACAGCAUCAAAGGCGGAGAGAAAAGUGCCUACAAAGUUUCAAGGUGGAUCAAGAACAGAGAGAACAGAAAGAACAGAGAGAAAAGAAAGAACAGAGAGAACAGAAAGAACAGAGAGAACAAAAAGAACAGAAAGAACAGAGAGAACAGAAAGAACAGAGAGAACAGAAAGAACAGAGAGAACAGAAAGAACAGAGAGAACAAAAAGAACAGAGAGAACAGAAAGAACAGAAAGAACAGAGCGAAAGAGAAAAACUCAUGAGGGAGAAAGAGGAAAGACUUCAGGAGAUGAAAGGGAAUCAGGAAUGGUUAAGACAGCAAAAAGAGCUGAAUAUACAGAGAGAGAGAGAACACGCCAGCUACAUCGCUUCAGCCAGAGUAAAACAGAAAAGAAUUGAGGACCCUGCCCCUUCCAAUAAGAGUCUUAUUAGGAGAGCUUUUCGCUGGAUGCGUAGGAUGUUUGGACUGAAGAACCUCCGAAAGAAGCUGGUAAAAAAUUAAAGGAAGCCCUUGUUAGUCAUGGAAGCCAUUUAGAGGUCAGUAAUCUUUAUUUACACUGUUUGUCACGCCCCCUUCCCCGUGACUCUUGUUUGUUCAAUGUACAUGUUGUUUCCGUCGUUGUUUGUUGGUAUGUUUGCCCGGUGCGUCUGUUCCAUGUCUGUCCUGGUGUUGUGUUCUGGUUGUCCGGGCAACGAGGCGGGGGCGGGGUGUUCCCCACCUGACAGUCAUUAUCCACUCUCGCACCUGUUCCUGAUCUGCAAUCCACCACAGCAUUUAGAAGAGUGUAGUAUUUGUGGAGAUAUAAUAACACACGCAGACACAGAGCCAAGGUGAGUCCGUUUAUUCCAACUCUGUACCCCCUCAAACAGCCAAACCCUGGAAGGUCCAAUGGCCCCUCCCUUUACCGUAUUUACUCUAGUAUUGAUACCAUCAUGACCGUACCUUAUAAACUACUACAGAGAGGACCUGACUUCCAGCCCCAGUCGGAUUGUUAAGUCUCAACCGUAUGUUGAGCUUUGCACACCAGCUAAACCUUUGCUGUAUUGACCUAGUCCUGUUUUGCCUGUCUGCCUGUUUUCUGAUUACCUACCUGUAACCCUGCUUUUUCCCCUGCCUAGACAAACCCGACAACUGCAUGCACCUGUUUGUCACCCUGGACCUCGGAGCCACCCUGCACCUAGAUUCCACGCCAACCCAUAGCCACUCGGCCCACCCCCCUGACACUGUUGUUAUACCUAAUGCCAUGAUGAAUGAAGCCCAGUCAAUGUAAUUGUCUUUUAUGCUUGAAACC
ensembl:lncRNA